GAACAGUCUGUUUUGAUCCAUGCUACACCACAGUUUAGUCAUAAUGCUGACCAGAAUGUUACACAACUCAAUGUCUCUUCCCACUACAAUGUGCUUCUAGUAUGUAUCUUUAAUGCUCUAAAUGAUUCUCUAGUAGUUCCAGUACCCUCAAAGAGAAAGACAAAGGGAUCACUCAAAUAUGUUCUUGAGUUCCUGACAGUAUCCCGUAGCACAUCAAGAACUUAACGUUUUCAGGUGUUUAAAUAUUGGUGAAUUAAAUUUAAAUUAAAGAUUUUUAAUAGAAAAAUAAAUAACUAAAAGCUGCAGAAAUUAAACAUGCACUCUUGGCUUCAGACUCCAUUUGCAGAUUGAUAAUGAUCAGCACCUAUAAAUCCUCAUGGGCAGUGAAAUGCUGGAAGGGAGAGAGAAUGUUUUCAACAAUAGCUGAUGUCUGCAUUAGCAACAAAAACAGUCUCUGAGCACUGGCAUCAAGGAGCAUUUGAUGUGAACAAAGUGACAUCUUGUUUCAUCAAAGGUUAAUGAGUACAGCAGCUCUGUCAGCAAUACAUUAAGACAGCAGUGUCACUGUUCGUCAUACUUGGUGAGUUCAAGGCAGACUGCAAGCAUCACCAUUCUCGGAUUUGUCGGGGUUUCUGUUCUCUCCCAGCUCACUGUGGACAUGACAUGGAUGCUGCUUCUUCACCUCACAUGACAUCAGCUUCCAGUAUCCAUGACUGAAGCCAAGGAUGAGAAGCUUCUUUCUGCUUGGGAGCUGCCCAGAUGAGAUGCCAAAGGAAUAAAUGCGGACCAGGAGAGAGAAGACAGGUGGAUUAUUCAGACAAGACAGAUAUCUCCAAAUGACAAAGAGUGGAUGGAUCAAUUCAGAUACAUCAUUGGUGCAGAUUAGGAUACCUGUGGUGCUCCAAAGUUUGCAGUGUGCAGGCCUUCCCACUUAA
rnacentral:lncRNA from 1 species